CUACGUGCCAGCAGCCGCGGUAAUACGGAGGGUGCGAGCGUUAAUCGGAAUAACUGGGCGUAAAGGGCACGCAGGCGGUGACUUAAGUGAGGUGUGAAAGCCCCGGGCUUAACCUGGGAAUUGCAUUUCAUACUGGGUAGCUAGAGUACUUUAGGGAGGGGUAGAAUUCCACGUGUAGCGGUGAAAUGCGUAGAGAUGUGGAGGAAUACCGAAGGCGAAGGCAGCCCCUUGGGAAUGUACUGACGCUCAUGUGCGAAAGCGUGGGGAGCAAACAGGAUUAGAUACCCUGGUAGUCCACGCUGUAAACGCUGUCGAUUUGGGGAUUGGGCUUUAAGCUUGGUGCCCGUAGCUAACGUGAUAAAUCGACCGCCUGGGGAGUACGGCCGCAAGGUUAAAACUCAAAUGAAUUGACGGGGGCCCGCACAAGCGGUGGAGCAUGUGGUUUAAUUCGAUGCAACGCGAAGAACCUUACCUACUCUUGACAUCGAUGGACAGAACUAGAGAUA
rnacentral:rRNA from 1 species